CGUAUCUUUAUUCUCCAGGCGUGACUUCCGUCUGCUGGUGGGCACCCCUGGCGACCCCGACAAACCGUUCCCCCCACCCAGUCAUCUGGCACAGUCAGUCAACAGAAUAUGUGGGUAACAACACGUAUGUGGCAGAGUUUGAAAACCCCGAGGAGGGAUGGAGAGCCUUCUUUAUACAGCUGACGUUCCGUGGUGUCAACGACUCUGUGCUGGAGUUCACAACGGAGAGCCAGAUCAUCCCGAUACCUUCCCCUUCCCUGACUGCAGUGGAGAAAGUUGCCGAGGGACGCUUGUCUGACCAGUGAUAAUGUUUGAUAAUGUCAUAGUGUUUCAACUAUUUCUUGUCGA